GAAGUACUCCCUCCGUCCGGAAAUAUUUGUCAUCAAAAUGAAUAAAAAGUGAUGUAUCUAGAUGUUCUAGAUACAUCACUUUUUAUUCAUUUUGAUGACAAGUAUUUUCGGACGGAGGGAGUAAUAA
rnacentral:pre_miRNA from 1 species